ensembl:lncRNA
CCGGAGGGGGUGACAGCUGUCCCAGGGGAGGGGCUGGAAGGACUCUGGACUCAGAACCCACAGCUGUGGCUCUAAGCUCGUUUACUGUAAACUUAUUUUGGAGAAGUCCACUGGCCUCCCCAUGGCUGUUUCUUCAUCUUAAAAGGGAUCCACCUGCUUUCCUCUCGGGUCCCGUAGUUCCCUGAGAGUGUGGUCUCUGCCUUGCCUUUGGGUCUUCUUACAUUCUGACCCUUUGCCUGGACCACACUCUUCUUUCCUUACCCGCUCCUACAUCCCCCAAGUGAAAUCCCGCUUCUUCCAGCAAGUCUUCCUGAAGGGCCUUGUGGUGGACAUAACAUGUGUCCAGAUCACCCUUCAGUGAAAGACUUGGUGUUCCGGGUCUGGAAGGCUGUCUGCAGGUGGCCUUUGCCUCCAGUCGUCAUUCACUUCAGGGCUGCCCGCAUCCAGAGACUGAUCAGGGACUGGUGGCAGGAGGAGAAUCAAAGACCUCCUUGCGGCCAUCUCCGACCAACUCCAGACAGCGCCCUUGCUACCCCUCCCUUUCCCAGCUGUUGCUCUCAGAACACUCCCCACUAAGCACCUGUGUGCUGACCUCCAGAGAACCCAGCCUCCGACACCCCUAGUCCAAGUCCCAAAUGAUACCGACGGCACUUGGUCAUCUCCUCUCGAACACUCAUGAGGGUGUCGGGCGCUUCCUCUAUCCUGUCUCCUUGCCCUGAAUUGUCAUGCGAGAGGGGAUGAACGCAGCACUAGCAGCACAGGGCACAGAUGGAGAUGCCGGGGGGAACUCAAGAGGCAGAGAAAUAGCAGCAUCCGCAGGGCCUUGAACUCUCAUCCUCUUCAUCAUGGGUUCUCAGCUGGCACGUCCUCUGUGUGGCCAGGGCUCCUGUAGAGAGGCCUGACCCAGCCAGCCAGCUGGACAUGCAACCAUCACCAAGAGAAAGGACCCACUCCAGACUGCUGGCCAGAGAGAAUGAAGACGGCGCUCUUCUGUGCUGGUUACUGCUGUGUCUCCUAGAACAGCACCUGGCCCCUUAACUAGGCACUCAGCACACUGCUGAAUGAUGUAAAACCUACCCAUCCAUGGUAAGCGUGUCUUUUUCCUUUGCUGAGCAUCUGCUGGCUUUAGAGGGACCUGAGUUUUGGUGGCCAAGGAAGAGCGUCUCCUUGUUCUACAAAAUCCUGCCUGUUAAGGUUAUGGGUGCUGAGCACACUUUGUCCACUGUGACUGUGGGCCUUGUCUCUGAAAGUGAUAAUCCCUCUUGGGACAGACACGAGGUGCUGCCUUUCCCCGACACACGGUGCACGCUGCUCUCUGCUUCCUGGUGGAGGGUGGCAGUGCCAGGGCUCUGUGGACUCCUCUAGCUCAGCUGUAUUUGAAAGGCUGCCUGUUGACAUUCUCCGGGAGCCGGGGGCCAAGCUCCACAGCACCAACCAACCUCGUCCUGAGACCUUUCACCGGCACCUUCCGUCAAUCUCAGAGUUUUCUGGGCUCGUCAACAUUUGUUGAAGCAUCAUCCUUGCCUAUUUGCAGGUCAGCUUUAUGCCCUGCCCCCAGCCUUUUAAUGCAGGUAAACUCUGUUUGCAUAACAUCAUCGUCUGUUAAGAACAGGCUCUGGAGUCAGGCCACUCGAGUCCAGAUGCCUUCUGCCUUGCUUACUGGUUAAGUGUGCUCAGUCACUCAGUUGUGUCCAACUCUGCAACCCCACGGAAUGUAGCCAGCGUAUUAUAAAGCAGAGACAUGACUUUGCCGACAAAAGUCCAUCUUGUCAAAGCUAUGGUUUUUCCAGUAGUCAUGUAUGGAUGUAAGAGUUGGACCGUAAAACUGACAGCUAAAGAAUUGAUGCUUUUCAACUGUGGUGUUGGAGAAGACUCUAGAGAGUCCCUUGGACUGCAAGGAGAUCCAACCAGUCCCUCCUAAAGGAAAUCAGUCCUGAAUAUUCAUUGGAAGGACUGAUGCUGAAGCUGAAGCUCCAAUACUUUGGCCACCUGAUGUGAAGAACUGACUCAUUGGAAAAGACCCUGAUGCUGGGAAAGAUUGAAGGUGGGAGGAGAAGCGGAUGACAGAGGAUGAGAUGGUUGGAUGGUACCACUGACUCGAUGGACAUGAGUUUGAGCAAGUGCCAGGAGUUGCUGAUGGACAGGGAAGCCUGGUGUGCUUCAGUCCAUGGGGUUGCAGAGUCAGACAUGACUGAGCAACUGAACUGAACUGAGAGUUGAACUCCCAUGCAACAGCCAGCAUCAACUUCUAGACAUGUGAGUGUGCAUCUUGGAAGCCCACCCCAGUCAUGCCUCCAGAUGGCUCCAGCCCCAGAAGAACCACACAGCUGAGCCUAGCCAAAUGCAAGAAUCACGAGAGAACUACGGUUUGGGGUGAUUUUCCGUGCAGCAAUAGAUAACCCAACUACUGACUUGUACAAGCAGAUGGAGUAAGAGGAAGUGAGAUGAAGCUGGAGAAGUCAUCAGGAGUAGAUUAUGUGGAGCCUGCAUCACAUGUGGAGAGAGCAAGGACUCAGGUACCAGAUACAUUAAUCCCAGUUCUCUACUUAUCUGCUGUGUUACCUCGGGAAAGUCACCUAACUUCUCUGGACUUCAGUUUUCCUCUGCUAUCAAACAGAGGCAAUACAAAGAAUGAUCAUAGUAAUUAAUUCUCCUUGUUUACUGAACAGUGCCUGGCACAUAGCAGGCACUCAAUCAAUAUUUGUUGAAUGAAUGAAUUUAGUGGGCUAGAAUUGAGGAGGUACAAAGAAGAAAUGAUCUUAUUUUUCUCCUCCUCCUGAAAAUUUCUUCUGUCAAAGGUGGUUUCCCUCUCUUGACUCCUGAUGAUAAUCAGGCAGAUCCAUGACUUCUUGGUCCCUUUGGGGCAAAAUAACAGUUUCAUUUUGGUAAUUAAAACUCACUUCCAGUCAUUAGAAAGUCCACUUUGAC